rnacentral:lncRNA from 1 species
UUAGCAUAAAGUCUGUUCAAUAGUUGGCUGUUUGUGGGCAGUUUGAGGACCAUACUGUCCUUUAGAUUGACCCUGUCCUCUGUCAACGCCCCAUCGUCCAAAGUUGUCCAUGAUCGUUGAGGCUUCAUUCAUAUCCUUUAAUGCUGAUCUUUAUAGAAAACUAAAAAUAUCCAUCACUUUUUUCACUUUUCUUUAUUAUUACUCGGCAUGCACUCAUGAUUUUUUUUAAGUAUCUGAUAAAUAAUGCAUACAAUGUAUGAACAUACAAAACACUUUUAAAAAUAAAAACUUAUCAAUAUUCCAAUGAGGCUUAAACAAAAUUUAACUGUCAAGUCUUGUCAACACAAGAUUCAAUACAACUCUACAUGCACGACCAUUUCUAUUUUUUAAUGAUUUUCAUCCACUGAUACAAAACGUUUGAUCAAUGUAAUAUCUGGUAUUUAUUUUGUUAGGUGCCAAUCAAAGCCGACUUUUAAAAUGUCUUCACAGAUAGCUUAACAAAAUCUUCCUUUCAUUCUUAAUACCAUCAAAAUUAAAAUGUUUUGCUUGAGAAGAUGUGAAACUUGUCUUCUACAUCAUCCUAGACCUGAAAACAAAUAACUUAUCUAUAACAAAUAUCAUUCAAUUUCAUUAUGUACAUACAAUAUU